rnacentral:rRNA from 1 species
AUUGAACGCUGGCGGCAGGCCUAACACAUGCAAGUCGAGCGGAUGACGGGAGCUUGCUCCUUGAUUCAGCGGCGGACGGGUGAGUAAUGCCUAGGAAUCUGCCUGGUAGUGGGGGACAACGUUUCGAAAGGAACGCUAAUACCGCAUACGUCCUACGGGAGAAAGCAGGGGACCUUCGGGCCUUGCGCUAUCAGAUGAGCCUAGGUCGGAUUAGCUAGUUGGUGGGGUAAUGGCUCACCAAGGCGACGAUCCGUAACUGGUCUGAGAGGAUGAUCAGUCACACUGGAACUGGGACACGGUCCAGACUCCGACGGGAGGCAGCAGUGGGGAAUAUUGGACAAUGGGCGAAAGCCUGAUCCAGCCAUGCCGCGUGUGUGAAGAAGGUCUUCGGAUUGUAAAGCACUUUAAGUUGGGAGGAAGGGCAGUAAGCUAAUACCUUGCUGUUUUGACGUUACCGACAGAAUAAGCACCGGCUAACUCUGUGCCAGCAGCCGCCGUAAGAC